CCGCUCUCUUCUCAAGCAUCUCUGGGACGGCAGGAGGAGAGAGAAGGAAGAAGAUGAACUGGGUGAGCCGAAAGGUGCAUCUGUACAACGUGACCAUGGGUCUGUACAUGCUCGACUGGUGGGAGCGCUGCCUCUUCAAUAUAUUGAUCCUUACUUUGCUGUGGUUCAUCUGCCACAACGGAUCUCGAUUUGCCACGGACUUGUACGAUGGCCAUCUCAAGUCUAAACUUGUGUUUAGCAGCAGCUUCCCAACAGGAGGGAGCACAAGAAUGUAACAGCCUAGCUGGAAAAAAUGGAUCAUCUUUCUUCUUUGUUUCCAAGAAAACAAUGAUUGUGUAUUUCAGUUAUAAAAUGAAUGUAGAAAGUAUUUUAAGAAUA